AUGUUUUACUCAUCAUCCUGAAUCUUCAAGAAACAUUCCCUAAUUAAUGAAAGUUACUCCGGUCAAACAUGAACGUUGGAGUUACGUGAAUGGAUAGGUUGGUGUGGUGAUGGUGUCUGCCUUCGCAUCAGAAAUUCGUCCCGAUGAAUCUCAGCCGUCCGAUCCCCUCUCCUUCUCGCUCGACCCACUUGACGGGCAUUUUCGUCUUACAAACGACAGCUUUGGGCAAUAGAGAUACCGACAUCACUCCCGAAAAAAGAAGCAAUCGACACCCGGCCCCCCAAAGGAAAACAAGAAAUUCCCAGCAUUCCAGACACCACCACGACCAGCAUUGCCGCCGUGUUCGCAUCGCCGGUGAAUCAAGAUCGGCGGCCAUCAUGGGGCUGCUGCAGAACCUGGGGCGGAGAGAGAGGGGGAAGGUGGAGGAAGAGGAGCAGAGGAGGAAGAGGAGGAGAGAGUGGAGAAAUCAGGCGGUGAGGAAUUGAAGGAUGUGGAGAGAGAGAAGGGAGGUGGGAUUUCAAGGAGGAGUGGCUGGUUCUAAUCAGAACCCGACAGAAUUACAUGCUUCGAUGUUGCAGCGGUUGAACCCAACGAACCCUUUGAGAUUGUCAUCAAUGGAGGGAGGAGAGUGACUACUCCUUCUCCUGCUCAUGCUUCCAAACCUCGCUCCUCACAACUAGAUAAACAAACUAAGGUUCAUAUACCUGUCCAAUGUAAUGCAAAAAUAUAAGUAAGAUGUUUGAUCAAAAGCAGAGCCCUUUUACUUACUCGAA